rnacentral:rRNA from 1 species
CCUACGGGAGGCAGCAGUGGGGAAUAUUGCACAAUGGGGGAAACCCUGAUGCAGCGACGCCGCGUGAGUGAAGAAGUAUUUCGGUACGUAAAGCUCUAUCAGCAGGGAAGAAAAUGACGGUACCUGACUAAGAAGCACCGGCUAACUACGUGCCAGCAGCCGCGGUAAUACGUAGGGGGCAAGCGUUAUCCGGAUUUACUGGGUGUAAAGGGAGCGUAGACGGCAGGGCAAGUCUGGAGUGAAAUCCCAUGGCUUAACCAUGGAACUGCUUUGGAAACUGUGCAGCUAGAGUGCAGGAGAGGUAAGCGGAAUUCCUAGUGUAGCGGUGAAAUGCGUAGAUAUUAGGAGGAACACCAGUGGCGAAGGCGGCUUACUGGACUGUAACUGACGUUGAGGCUCGAAAGCGUGGGGAGCAAACAGGAUUAGAUACCCCGGUAGUC